CAGCAGCCGCGGUAAUACGUAGGGUGCAAGCGUUAAUCGGAAUUACUGGGCGUAAAGCGUGCGCAGGCGGUUAUAUAAGACAGAUGUGAAAUCCCCGGGCUCAACCUGGGAACUGCAUUUGUGACUGUAUAGCUAGAGUACGGCAGAGGGGGAUGGAAUUCCGCGUGUAGAAGUGAAAUGCGUAGAUAUGCGGAGGAACACCGAUGGCGAAGGCAAUCCCCUGGGCCUGUACUGACGCUCAUGCACGAAAGCGUGGGGAGCAAACAGGAUUAGAUACCCCCGUAGUCCCUGUCUCUUAUAC
rnacentral:rRNA from 1 species